GAUUUCUGAUCGCGUAUGUCUAGCCCGCCGGGGUAACCCGCGUGUGUGCUGGAAUGUUACCGGUCAUCCGUCUAGAUCACUCCUCUGCUCUUUACUGAGUCGGAGGGCAAGUGCCAUCUAGACCUUUUACUUUGAACAAAUUAGAGUGUUUCAAGCAGGCGUUGUUUGCGUUGAAUACAUUAGCAUGGAAUAAUCGAAUAGGACUUUGGUCCUAGUUUUCGUUGGUUUCAAGGACUAAAGUAAUGAUUGAUAGGGAUAGUUGGGGGUGCUAGUAUUCAGUGGCCAGAGGUGAAAUUCUUGGAUUCACUGAAGACUAACUAAUGCGAAAGCAUU
rnacentral:rRNA from 1 species